UACGGAGGGUGCAAGCGUUAUCCGGAUUCACUGGGCGUAAAGGGCUCGUAGGUGGCCAACUAAGUCAGACGUGAAAUCCCUCGGCUUAACCGGGGAACUGCGUCUGAUACUGGAUGGCUUGAGUUUGGGAGAGGAAUGCGGAAUUCCAGGUGUAGCGGUGAAAUGCGUAGAUAUCUGGAGGAACACCGGUGGCGAAGGCGGCAUUCUGGACCAAUACUGACGCUGAGGAGCGAAGGCCAGGGGAGCAAACGGG
rnacentral:rRNA from 1 species